GUCUAUGGCCAUGCCACUCUGAACAAGCCCAAUAUCUGAUCUCGGAAGCUAAGCAGGGUCGAGCCUGGUUAGUACUUGGAUGGGAGACCGCCUAGGAAGACCAAGUACUAGAGGCA
rnacentral:rRNA from 1 species